UGGGAUUGAUUCGAGCAAUGGCGAACCGACAGAUGCCGCGUGUGUGAGAAGGCCUUCGGGUUGUAAAGCACUUUUGUCCGGAAAGAAAUCCUUGGCUCUAAUACAGUCGGGGGGAUGACGGUACCGGAAGAAUAAGCACCGGCUAACUACGUGCCAGCAGCCGCGGUAAUACGUAGGGUGCAAGCGUUAAUCGGAAUUACUGGGCGUAAAGCGUGCGCAGGCGGUUUGCUAAGACCGAUGUGAAAUCCCCGGGCUCAACCUGGGAACUGCAUUGGGUGACUGGCAGGCUAGAGUAUGGCAGAGGGGGGUUAGAAUUCCACGUGUAGCAGUGAAAUGCGUAGAGAUGUGGAGGAAUACCGAUGGCGAAGGCAGCCCCCUGGGCCAAUACUGACGCUCAUGCACGAAAGCGUGGGGAGCAAACAGGAUUAGAUACCCUGGUAGUCCACGCCCUAAACGAUGUCAACUAGUUGUUGGGGAUUCAUUUCCUUAGUAACGUAGCUAACGCGUGAAGUUGACCGCCUGGGGAGUACGGUCGCAAGAUUAAAACUC
rnacentral:rRNA from 1 species